AUUCUCCUUUGGUUCGUAAGUGUGCUGACUGCUGUUCACACCACUAUGUGACAUUUACUUCCCUUACUUCUUGAUAUACUGUUAGUACCUUACCCAUCUGACA